UUCGCUCGGCGUGUUUGUGCUCGUUUGGUGAACUUAUUCGGCAUGGUAAGUUAAACAUCAAAUUUCGGGUCGUCAUAAAAUGACGGGAGGGAAUGUAGCUUUGAUCUCGUAUUAAAGUGUUAUAGCCUCUGGUAGAUGUGAUGAUCGGUAUUGAGGAUUGCAACGAACCCUCUGGGCCACUCGUCUGGCCUCUGGUGGUCGCUCUGGUUCCGAAAGCUUGCUUACGGUUGUCAGAGUUUGGUUGCCAAAAGGUUAGAACGGGAUGAUUUCGUAAGGAUGGGACGUAAAUCGAAUCCCGCGGCCGCCAUGGCGGCGCGGGAGCAUGGGAUUUGGGGUCCCUG
rnacentral:rRNA from 1 species